AUGCACUGGCUAUCGUGGCAGAACCUCGCUACACCGAAGUGCAAGGGGGGGAUGGGUUUUCGGGAACCCCAUCAGUUUAACCUUGCAUUACUUGGGAAGCACAAAUGGAGGUUUUUGACCAAACAAAAUUCCCUAUGUGCAAGAGUUUUAAAAGGUCGCUACUUUCGUGAUAGAGACUUUAUGCAUGCAAGCGUCCCCAAGUCGGCUUCUGCAAAUUGGAGGGCGAUAAUCGCUGGCAGACAAGCUCUAAAGGUGGGUCUGAUCAAAAGAGUGGGAGAUGGGACAUCCAUGGAUGCUUGGGCAGACAAAUGGAUUCCCGGGACAAUCUCCAUGUCCCCCAUGAUGAAACCUCCUAACACCAAUGUACAAUUGGUUUCAGACCUCAUUGAUCCCGAGAACUGGGCAUGGCAACAGGAUCUAGUUCAAUCAACUUUCAUUACCCCGGAUGCGGAUGCAAUCCUUAAUAUACCAAUCAGGUGA
rnacentral:rRNA from 1 species